rnacentral:rRNA from 1 species
UACGUAGGGUCCAAGCGUUGUUCGGAUUUACUGGGCGUAAAGGGCGCGUAGGCGGCGCGGUAAGUCACUUGUGAAAUCUCUGAGCUUAACUCAGAACGGCCAAGUGAUACUGCAGUGCUAGAGUGUGGAAGGGGCAAUCGGAAUUCUUGGUGUAGCGGUGAAAUGCGUAGAUAUCAAGAGGAACACCUGAGGUGAAGACGGGUUGCUGGGCCAACACUGACGCUGAGGAGCGAAAGCGUGGGGAGCGAACAGG